rnacentral:rRNA from 1 species
UGAUCCUGCCAGUAGUCAUACGCUCGUCUCAAAGAUUAAGCCAUGCAUGUAGCGAUUCAUUUUAUACUGUGAAACUGCGAACGGCUCAUUAUAUCAGUUAUAGUUUAUUUGAUAAAUAACUUACUACUUGGAUAACCGUAGUAAUUCUAGAGCUAAUACAUGCACCAAAUCCCGACUGUUAUGGAAGGGAUGUAUUUAUUAGAUAUCAACCAAUACUCUUCGGAGUUUUUCGGUGAGUCAUAAUAACUUUGCGAAUCGCAGCGGACUUUUGUUCGGCGAUGAAUCAUUCAAGUUUCUGCCCUAUCAGCUUUCGAUGGUAGUGUAUUGGACUACCAUGGCGGUGACGGGUAACGGAGAAUUAGGGUUCGAUUCCGGAGAGGGAGCCCGAGAAACGGCUACCACAUCUAAGGAAGGCAGCAGGCGCGCAAAUUACCCAAUCCCGAUAUGGGGAGGUAGUGACAAGAAAUAACGAGGCGGGCCACUACGUGGUUACGCUAUUGGAAUGAGUAGAAUCUAAAUCACUUUACGACUAUCCAUUGGAGGGCAAGUCUGGUGCCAGCAGCCGCGGUAAUUCCAGCUCCAAUAGCGUAUAUUAAAGUUGUUGCGGUUAAAAAGCUCGUGAGGUUGGGAUUUCUGCGGGGGACCGAACGGUCCACCUUAUGGGUGAGUAUCUGUCAGGCCCUUGCAUUCCUCGUGGGGAACGUCGCUGCGCUUUAUUGCGUGGUACGGAAUCCACGACUUUUACUUUGAGGAAAUUAGAGUGUUCACGGCAGGCAAACGCCCUGAAUAUGUUAGCAUGGAAUAAUAAUAUAGGACUUUGGUCUUAUUUUGUUGGUUUCUAGGACUAAAGUAAUGAUAAAUAGGGACAGUUGGGGGUAUUUGUAUUAAUGCGUCAGAGGUGGAAAUUCUUGGAUUGCAUUACGACAAACUACUGCGAAAGCAUUUACCAAAGGAUGUUUUUCAUUGAUCAAGAACGAAAGUAUGGGGAUCGAAGACGAUUAGAUACCGUCGUAGUCUAUACCAUAAACUAUGCCAAUUAGGAAUCUUGGGGAUGUAUAAUCUAUGACUCCCAAGGCGCCUUAGAGAAAUUAAAAUUUUUGGGUUCCGGGGGGAGUAUGGUCGCAAGGCUGAACCUUAACGGAAUUGACGCAGGCACCCCACCAGAAGUGGAGCCUGCGGCUUAAUUUGACUCAACACGGGGAAACUUACCAGGUCCAGACAUAGAUAGGAUUGACAGAUUGAUAGCUCUUUCUUGAUUCUAUGGGUGGUGGUGCAUGGCCGUUCCUAGUUGGUGGAGUGAUUUGUCUGCUUAAUUGCGUUAACGAACGAGACCUUAAUCUGCUAAAUAGCUGAACGUAACUCCGGUUAUAUUCCUAGCUUCUUAGAGAGACUUUCAGCUUCAAGUUGAAGGAAGUUUGAGGCAAUAACAGGUCUGUGAUGCCCUUAGAUGUUCUGGGCUGCACGCGCGCUACACUGAUGCGUUCAACGAGUAUCAACCUUAGCAGACAUGCUUGGGUAAUCUUUUGAAAACGCAUCGUGAUGGGGAUAGAUUAUUGUAAUUAUUAGUCUUGAACGAGGAAUUCCUAGUAUGGGCGAUUCAUCAGAUCGCUCAGAUUACGUCCCUGCCCUUUGUACACACCGCCCGUCGCUCCUACCGAUUGAGUGGUCCGGUGAGUAAUUUGGACGGACUUUCUUCGGCGCAAGCUGAGUGAGUCUGAAAAUCUAGCAAACCUUAUCACUUAGAGGAAGGAGAAGUCGUAACAAGGUUUCCGUAGGU